rnacentral:rRNA from 1 species
CCUACGGGCUGCAGCAGUCGGGAAUAUUGCGCAAUGGAGGAAACUCUGACGCAGUGACGCCGCGUGCAGGAAAAAGCUUUUCGGAUUUUAAACUGCUUUAGACAGGGCAGAAAAAAGACAGUACCUCUAGAAUAAGCUCCGCCUAACUCCGUGCCAGCAGCCCCGGUAAUACGGAGGGAGCAAGAGUUAUCCGGAUCAAUUGGGGGUAAAGGUGCGUAGACGGAGAAGCAAGUUUGGUGUGAAAUCCCUAGGCUAAACUGAGGUACUGCAAUUAAAACUUCUUACCUUGAAUGCUGGAGAGGAAAGUGGAAUUCCUAGUGUAGCGGUGAAAUGCGUAGAUAUUAGGAGGAACACCAGUGGCGAAGGCGAUUUUCUGGACAGUAACUGACGUUGAGGAACGAAAGUGUGGGGAGCAAACGGGAUUAGAUACCCUUGUAGUC